AAUAUGACGACACUCGUUUUUUUAAAAAGAUUAAUAUUAUUUAUUAUAUAAAAUACUUGAUUACAUUAAGUUACAAAAAUGAUGUUCACAAUUCGAGAGGUGGAUCCGAAAUGUUUUCAAAGGGUUGUCUGUCUGGUGUUAUGGUGGGGAUGGGUGCUUACUCUGUUUUUGCUGACUCGGUGGAAUUUCUGUUGAUCAUUGUAGAAGUUGUGGCCAGAUGUAUAUAAAUAAUGUUAUUUAUAAAAAAAAUUCCUAUCAAUAUUUUUCAUUUUUGUUUGUUUGUUAGUCCCAUCCAGAUCCUCAAGGGUAAAUAUAGUGAUUUUUGAGAAAAAUAAUUUCUCAUUGUGAAGUAAUAAUUCAAAUAAGAAACACAUUUUUGGAAUUGUGCUCUGCUGGCUGUACAACAAAAUAAAACUACUACUCUGUUCAUGAGAUCCUGAAUGUAUUACAAUAGUUGGAAGAAGAAGAAGAAAAUGAAGCAUUUUUGGCUGGUGUACAUAUCACACCCCCUUUGAGUUACGAAACUGAUGAAGAUGUUGGAAGAAAAAUAUAAAUUGAAUAGCUGUCAAUUGAAAGCAGAUGGAGAAUUAUUAUUGAUCAACGUGUAAGAUGACGUGUUGAGAUUAGAUGUCCCAAAGAAUAUAAUGCAAAAACCUUCAUGUGUCAAUUCUUCCAGCUCCUAUUUCAAAAUGUCCAGAAAAGAGGGCAUCCAUGAUCAAAAUUAGGGAUGCAGAAUGCAAUCAGAAGAGAGCCCACCUGGGGAAAAAAAGAUGCAAAGAAAUCUGCAAAAUCGGAUAUUUGGGCCAAAGGUGAUCUCCCUUGCACCCGACCAAUGACUUGUCUAGAAACAUUUAAAUUGUUUUAAAUUUAAAUGUUCAGAGGACAUUCUGAGGAAGUCAGUUUUAUACACUGUACAAAAAGGCAAAGCAAACUAGCAGUCACUGAACUAAAGUUGUUUUUAGGAAUUUUUAUAUUGCUCAAUUAUCCUCAAAGAAGGAUGUAUUGGGAGGAGAAAAAUGAUGUUCAAACUGAGGCAGUUUCUACUCUCCGUCGUUAUAGAUUCAAAGAAAUUAUGUGAUUCAUUCAUUUGAAUAAUUCUGUGCUCGACAAAAAUGAUCAGCUUUCAAAAAUGAGGCCUUACCUAGAACAUUCGAGGACUUCAUUUCAAGAAUUUGCUAUUUUGAAAAAAAGAGUUUAGCAUCGACGAGGAAAUGAUACUUUACUAUGAGCAUCACAGGAUGAAACAGUGCAUCAGAGGCACGGCUAUAUAAUAUUUGGCCUCAAAGCACGGUGCCACUAUUUUAAGCUUGGCUAUAUAGUUAAUAUAGAGCUUUAUUUACAUCAAAAAUCAUUAUUCUAUAUUUGUAACUUAAAUUGGCAAUCAUAUUUGAGUCAAAUAUAAUAAUCCUAUUGUAAUAAUUAUAUUAUAUAAAAAGUCAAACUGAACCAACAGUCACUUACAGGGCCUGCUCCACUCGUGAGUCAUCAACUCUAAAUUAAAAGUACUUAUAUUAUCUUGCAAGAUUACAUGAUUCAUUAAAAUACUAUAUACCUCAUUAAAAACAGCAAAAUUAUUAUCAAUUAGCCUGACAACCAAAUUAUCUUAAGCAUCUUCAAGGCGUUUGUGCACCAGGGCCUAACUCGAAAAGUGAAUAGAUUCACUAUUCCUACUUUUUUAAACUAAGUUUUAGACUCAAAAAUAAAACAAGUAUUGUUUAUGUUAAAAAAAAGGAAAAAAAUAGUGGGCACAAAUGUGUAAAUGUAAACAAUGCUAUAAUAUUGUUCAUAACAGUGUUCAAUACACAAUUUCUUUCAGUCA